CACACCCUCUGGUCGCCCCUUUUGUCGGGCGGCGACCGGGUCCUGAGGGGAGCGUCUUCUCGCACCCUCUAAAGUGGAAAGCCAGCGGCCCGCCUGCCCUCGAAAGACGUAGUAACUCGAAAGACCUCGUCCGCGAAAGGGUUCAAAGGUGCAGGGCUCGCCUCGAAGCCAACUACCUAAG
rnacentral:misc_RNA from 1 species